GGCGCCUGUUUGACUUUGAAUAUGGCAGUUUUACACGGUUCUUUUAGCCACCGUCACACACCAUAAUGGAGUUUAAAGUGUGGAGUACCGUGGCAGUGCUUGCCCUGGCAUGUUUUCUGCAAACCACCCAAGCAUGGGAACCGAUGCAAGUCACAUCACCAUGCCUUGGGGAGAAGCCCUUUGUGCCCAAAACUGCCAUUGCUCUUGAGAAGUUCCUUCACGCCAAGAAGGAUAAGAGUCGAAAGUCAGGACAUCGGCGUCCUUAUUAUCCCCGGAAGAAAAUGUUACACAGAAGGGAAUACCAGUAAUCGUUCUGUUCACACGGCAAGAAAUGAUUAGCUUCAACAUCCACCUGAGAGGAAGAAUCGUCAUCUCCCGUUGAAUGAACAGUCACACAAGUGAUAUGUUAUUAAUAAAAUCAAUCUCAUUAAAAUCAGUUCUCGCUGCCGCUAAAACAAAGAUCUGAGGACAUCCCAUUACGGGUCACGUCAGCACGACCUUUCAUCCAACCAAUCAGGGCGUCGCUUACCACAUCCUGAAAGUGACAGUCCGAAUGUGUUUUCUAAUUAUGCAACCACGAAA